rnacentral:rRNA from 1 species
AGGAAACGAGAAGUCGACGCGCCGACCUCCCGCGAGGGGGGAGAGGCGUCCGGCCCUCCGCGAGCACUCGCGUGGGUUCGGGUUCCGGACCCGGUCCGAUCCCGUCCUCACCGCGGGGCUGUCCGCGAUCAUGGAGGUGUCCUCGGACGGCGUCGAAGUCUAAGAAAGUUCUCCAGUCCGCGACGCUACGGCUUGGAUGGUCCACCCGACCCGUCUUGAAACACGGACCAAGGAGUCUAACAUGCGCGCGAGUUGUUGGGUCGGACACGCUCCGCUAAACCCAUAAGCGCAAUGAAAGUGAAGGCCGCCUCCUGGGCGGCCGAGGGAGGACCGGGCCGCUCUUCGGACGCUCCGGCGUCCGACGGUCCGCGCACCCCCGGGGCGUCUGUUCCCUCAUCGCGAGGGGAGGCGCACCCAGAGCGUGCACGUUGGGACCCGAAAGAUGGUGAACUAUGCCUGGCCAGGACGAAGUCAGGGGAAACCCUGAUGGAGGUCCGUAGCGAUUCUGACGUGCAAAUCGAUCGUCGGAGCUGGGUAUAGGGGCGAAAGACUAAUCGAACCAUCUAGUAGCUGGUUCCCUCCGAAGUUUCCCUCAGGAUAGCUUGCGCUCGGAGGAGAGUCUCAUCCGGUAAAGCGAAUGAUUAGAGGCCUUGGGGCCGAAACGGCUUCAACCUAUUCUCAAACUUUAAAUGGGUGAGAACUCCGGCUUGCUCGACCGAUCGAAGCCGGAGACGGGGACCGUCCUUCGGGGCGGGCCCCCGGGAUCGGAGUGCAUAGUGGGCCACUUUUGGUAAGCAGAACUGGCGCUGUGGGAUGAACCAAACGACGGGUUAAGGCGCCCGAAUCGACGCUCAUGGGAAACCAUGAAAGGUGUUGGUUGCUUAAGACAGCAGGACGGUGGCCAUGGAAGUCGGAAUCCGCUAAGGAGUGUGUAAUAACUCACCUGCCGAAGCAACUAGCCCUGAAAAUGGAUGGCGCUGAAGCGUCGUGCCUAUACCCGGCCGUCGCGGCAGGGCGGACCCGGCCCCGAGUCGGGUGCCGCUUGAUGCGGCGACGAGUAGGAGGGUCGCGGCGGCGUGCGCAGAAGGGUCUGGGCUCGAGCCUGCCUGGAGCCGCCGCCGGUGCAGAUCUUGGUGGUAGUAGCAAAUACUCCAGCGAGGCCCUGGAGGACUGAUGUGGAGAAGGGUUUCGUGUGAACAGCCGUUGCACACGAGUCAGUCGAUCCUAAGCCCUAGGAGAAAUCCGACGCCAACGGCGACGGGAAAAAAUCGAAUCUUAGAAAGAAACCCGUUGAUCGGGCGAAAGGGAAUCCGGUUCCUAUUCCGGAACCCGGCAGCGGAACCGCUGUUUGUCGGGCCCUCACAAGGGGUUCGUCAGGGUAACCUAAAAGGGCCCGGAGACGCCGUCGGGAGCCCCGGAAAGAGUUUUCUUUUCUGCAUGAGCGUUCGAGUUCCCUG